rnacentral:rRNA from 1 species
GCCUACGGGGGGCAGCAGUAGGGAAUCUUCCACAAUGGGCGAAAGCCUGAUGGAGCAACGCCGCGUGGGUGAAGAAGGUCUUCGGAUCGUAAAACCCUGUUGUUAGAGAAGAAAGUGCGUGAGAGUAACUGUUCACGUUUCGACGGUAUCUAACCAGAAAGCCACGGCUAACUACGUGCCAGCAGCCGCGGUAAUACGUAGGUGGCAAGCGUUAUCCGGAUUUAUUGGGCGUAAAGGGAACGCAGGCGGUCUUUUAAGUCUAAUGUGAUAGCCUUCGGCUUAACCGGAGCAGUGCAUUGGCAACU